rnacentral:rRNA from 1 species
AGAGUUUGAUCCUGGCUCAGAUUGAACGCUGGCGGCAGGCUUAACACAUGCAAGUCGAGCGGGGGAAGUUGCUUCGGUAACUAACCUAGCGGCGGACGGGUGAGUAAUGCUUAGGAAUCUGCCUAUUAGUGGGGGACAACAUUCCGAAAGGGAUGCUAAUACCGCAUACGCCCUACGGGGGAAAGGAGGGGAUCUUCGGACCUUUCGCUAAUAGAUGAGCCUAAGUCAGAUUAGCUAGUUGGUGGGGUAAAGGCCUACCAAGGCGACGAUCUGUAGCGGGUCUGAGAGGAUGAUCCGCCACACUGGGACUGAGACACGGCCCAGACUCCUACGGGAGGCAGCAGUGGGGAAUAUUGGACAAUGGGGGCAACCCUGAUCCAGCCAUGCCGCGUGUGUGAAGAAGGCCUUUUGGUUGUAAAGCACUUUAAGCGAGGAGGAGGCUCUUCUAGUUAAUACCUAGGAUGAGUGGACGUUACUCGCAGAAUAAGCACCGGCUAACUCUGUGCCAGCAGCCGCGGUAAUACAGAGGGUGCGAGCGUUAAUCGGAUUUACUGGGCGUAAAGCGUACGUAGGCGGCUUUUUAAGUCGGAUGUGAAAUCCCUGAGCUUAACUUAGGAAUUGCAUUCGAUACUGGGAAGCUAGAGUAUGGGAGAGGAUGGUAGAAUUCCAGGUGUAGCGGUGAAAUGCGUAGAGAUCUGGAGGAAUACCGAUGGCGAAGGCAGCCAUCUGGCCUAAUACUGACGCUGAGGUACGAAAGCAUGGGGAGCAAACAGGAUUAGAUACCCUGGUAGUCCAUGCCGUAAACGAUGUCUACUAGCCGUUGGGGCCUUUGAGGCUUUAGUGGCGCAGCUAACGCGAUAAGUAGACCGCCUGGGGAGUACGGUCGCAAGACUAAAACUCAAAUGAAUUGACGGGGGCCCGCACAAGCGGUGGAGCAUGUGGUUUAAUUCGAUGCAACGCGAAGAACCUUACCUGGUCUUGACAUAGUAAGAACUUUCCAGAGAUGGAUUGGUGCCUUCGGGAACUUACAUACAGGUGCUGCAUGGCUGUCGUCAGCUCGUGUCGUGAGAUGUUGGGUUAAGUCCCGCAACGAGCGCAACCCUUUUCCUUAUUUGCCAGCGGGUUAAGCCGGGAACUUUAAGGAUACUGCCAGUGACAAACUGGAGGAAGGCGGGGACGACGUCAAGUCAUCAUGGCCCUUACGACCAGGGCUACACACGUGCUACAAUGGUCGGUACAAAGGGUUGCUACUCCGCGAGGAGAUGCUAAUCUCAAAAAGCCGAUCGUAGUCCGGAUCGCAGUCUGCAACUCGACUGCGUGAAGUCGGAAUCGCUAGUAAUCGCGGAUCAGAAUGCCGCGGUGAAUACGUUCCCGGGCCUUGCACUCACCGCCCGUCA